GUUUUACUACAUCUAAUGGUUUGUUUUACCUGCAGCAACCCCAGUGAGGAUUUACCUUUAGUUCAUGUCUAUUUGCAAAGGACGCAUCAUGUGGAUAGUACAGUAUUACAGCAGAACACCUGACAUCUGACCCUCUAAAGAGUUAGGCAACCAUACAAACUCGCCAGAAGUUGGACCUUCUAAAUAAGGUGCAUUUAUACGACAAUCACUUGAAAGCCCUCCACUACAAACACAUGAUCUCCAUUCAACUAACUGUGACUUCUGAAAUCAAAUGGUUGGACCAGUGAUGAUUU